UUUUGACGUGGAUCACGUGUCAGCUAUCCCGUAUGAUGGGUGCAGUAUUUACAACCGUAUGCAUUACCCGAAUGGGCGUCUCUACCUUCCACAUGAUCUCACGGCGAACACAUGUCUUCAGACUACCAGCCCCAGUACAACUCAAGCAAUAACAGAUGGGCCAGCGAAUGUAACUGCACACACAGAAUCUCUCUCAUCAUCAGCGACACCGACAACCACGACUGGAUCGACAACAGCUACAUCCACAUCAACUACUAUCAAGGUGCAGAAACCUACUCCUUGUGCUUGUGUCUGCAACAGCCCCACAACGUCAGCUGCAUCCACAUCAGCUACUGUCAAGGCGGAGAAAACUACUCCAUGUGCUUGUGAAGGCAAAAGCUCUACGUUGUUAGCUGCAUCACCCUCCUCCACAA